rnacentral:tRNA from 1 species
GUCUCAGUAGUGUAGCUUUUAACACACGAGCCCCCUGAGACGCUGGUUCGAAUCCCGCCUGAGCCA